ACACAGACACACAGGUGCACACACUGACACACAUGCAGAUACACAGAUACACACAAUGACACUCAUACGAAUACAAACACUUACACACAUGCAGAUACACACACUGACUCAGAUAGAUGCACACACAAGAUACACAUACACACAGAUAGAUACACACACUGACACACUGAUAAAUACACAGAUACACAUUCAGACACAUAAACACGCAUAUACACAGACUCACAUACAGAUACACAGACACACAUACAAACACACAGAUACAUGCACAGACACACAUGUAAAAUGUACACAUUUUUAGCCUACAUUUUGGGUGCAGAAGGGUGGCUUCUGUGGGGUCCAGUCUGAUGGGUGAGACUGUUCGGAGUUAGAGGUCCUCCUGGACCACGCCCCCUCCUCUCUACCUUGACCUCUCUUCCGUGUGGCUCAGUCUGUAAGCUGGGAGGAAGUGAUAUGAGAGGGGCCUGGUUACACUGUUAAAGGGCCACAGUGCAUAGACGAGCCCCUGAAUACACGUCCAUAAGGUGGCCCUAAAUGCACGAGCCCCCUCAAUGUGCACCAGCUGCAUCAGCAGUAGUUCCGCCGCUGAUCCACAUGCAGGGUUUUUACACUUUGUUGUUUGAUGAACAAUAGCCAAAUCGGUUGUGCUCAACUGGACUUUAUGACUUGUGCUCUAAAACCAAAUCUCCUGUAUAGAGGAGGGGGCUGUGAAAUAGAGAUAUUAUUCAUUCUUACACACCAAUGGAAAUCAAGAAAUAUCACACAUGUACUAUAGUUUAUUUACUGUAUUUUUCUUUUUUUCCAGUUUAAAUUAUUAGGUAGCAAAUAGGUCAUUCAACCUUUCUAAAUCCUAGAACAUUUCUGAUAUUGAAAUAUUAGUGACCUAUAUGUUGCCCUUUAUUUAUGACACGGUAUGUUCUACC
rnacentral:lncRNA from 1 species